rnacentral:rRNA from 1 species
AUGAACGCUAGCUACAGGCUUAACACAUGCAAGUCGAGGGGCAGCAUCAUCAAAGCUUGCUUUGACGGAUGGCGACCGGCGCACGGGUGAGUAACACGUAUCCAACCUGCCGACAACACUGGGAUAGCCUUUCGAAAGAAAGAUUAAUACCGGAUGGCAUAAUUAUUCCGCAUGGGAUAAUUAUUAAAGAAUUUCGGUUGUCGAUGGGGAUGCGUUCCAUUAGGCAGUUGGCGGGGUAACGGCCCACCAAACCAACGAUGGAUAGGGGUUCUGAGAGGAAGGUCCCCCACAUUGGAACUGAGACACGGUCCAAACUCCUACGGGAGGCAGCAGUGAGGAAUAUUGGUCAAUGGACGAGAGUCUGAACCAGCCAAGUAGCGUGAAGGAUGACUGCCCUAUGGGUUGUAAACUUCUUUUAUACGGGAAUAAAGUGAGCCACGUGUGGCUUUUUGUAUGUACCGUAUGAAUAAGGAUCGGCUAACUCCGUGCCAGCAGCCGCGGUAAUACGGAGGAUUCGAGCGUUAUCCGGAUUUAUUGGGUUUAAAGGGAGCGUAGGCGGGUUGUUAAGUCAGUUGUGAAAGUUUGCGGCUCAACCGUAAAAUUGCAGUUGAUACUGGCGACCUUGAGUGCAACAGAGGUAGGCGGAAUUCGUGGUGUAGCGGUGAAAUGCUUAGAUAUCACGAAGAACUCCGAUUGCGAAGGCAGCUUACUGGAUUGUAACUGACGCUGAUGCUCGAAAGUGUGGGUAUCAAACAGGAUUAGAUACCCUGGUAGUCCACACAGUAAACGAUGAAUACUCGCUGUUGGCGAUAUACAGUCAGCGGCCAAGCGAAAGCAUUAAGUAUUCCACCUGGGGAGUACGCCGGCAACGGUGAAACUCAAAGGAAUUGACGGGGGCCCGCACAAGCGGUGGAGUAUGUGGUUUAAUUCGAAGCAACGCGAAGAACCUUACCAGGCCUUGACAUCCCUUGCAUAGUGCAGAGAUGCAUGAAGUCCUUCGGGACAUCGAGACAGGUGGUGCAUGGUUGUCGUCAGCUCGUGUCGUGAGAUGUUGGGUUAAGUCCCGCAACGAGCGCAACCCUUGUGAUAUGUUACUAACAUUGAGUUGAGGACUCAUAUCAGACUGCCGGUGAUAAACCGGAGGAAGGUGGGGAUGACGUCAAAUCAGCACGGCCCUUACGUCCGGGGCUACACACGUGUUACAAUGGGGGGUACAGAAGGCAGCUACACGGCGACGUGGUGCUAAUCCCAAAAGCCUCUCUCAGUUCGGAUUGGAGUCUGCAACCCGACUCCAUGAAGCUGGAUUCGCUAGUAAUCGCGCAUCAGCCACGGCGCGGUGAAUACGUUCCCGGGCCUUGUACACACCGCCCGUCACACCAUGAGAGUUGGGAAUACCCGAAGCCUGUGAGCUAACUUUUAGAGGCAGCAGUCGAAGGUAGAAUCAAUGAUUGGGGUG